rnacentral:rRNA from 7 species
UGCGACCCCAGGUCAGGCGGGGCUACCCGCUGAGUUUAAGCAUAUCAAUAAGCG